CUUAAACAGAAAAAUAAUAACCAAAAAACAAAAGAAAAAAGAAAAAACUACAAAAUUAUGGCUUGUUGCAGGCAAAGUACAGUAGUAGAGAUUCAAUAAUGAAUUUCAACUUAAUAAAACGGCAUCCAAAAAGGGUGGAGUAGAGGGAUUGAGGAGAAAAACUGAAAACCUUUUAACUAGGGCGGUGGGGCCUAAUAAAAAAGCGUGGUGGGGAACAGGAUUUCUUGGGACGGAAACAGAAUAUCUAUAUCUACCACUAUAAAAGGGCAGGCACAACCCUGAACGGAACUAGUUUGCGGACGACGAAAAUAAUCCCUUUCAUAAAGGCGUCUCCUUAUCUGCAGAAACUCAUCUUGAAGUUACAUAAAACUAAUGAUAAAUGUUCUUAUUUAGAGAAAGUUCCAAAAUAACAUGAUUACCUAAAAGAACUGGAAAUAAUUGGCUAUUUAGGUGUUCCAAGUGAUGUUAAGCUUAUCACUUACUUUGUUAAGAAUGCAGUUUCACUUGCAAAGGUUAUUAUCAGUUCCGUCAUGUAUAAUAAAGAAUAUCCCUGGAGAGGACAAAGACAGUUGAAACUAUGAAGGAGGAAGAAAUGGAAGGGAUCAUGCUAUCAAUGUUAUGGGAAAAAAAGUUCCUCCAGGUGUAGAAUUUAUUUGCCUGUAAAUGUAUGUUUAAUUUUAUUAAUUUAAAACCAUUUGUAUUAUCAAUUUUAAGACCAUAACGCCCAUUUUGGUAACCCUGAAACAUUACUCGAUGUUUAUUGGGAUUGAGAUUGGAAUUUGGGAUUUGAUGGGAUAAGAAUUAAUUUAGUCUUUUGUUUGUUAUUA